rnacentral:rRNA from 1 species
AGAGUUUGAUCCUGGCUCAGAAUGAACGCUGGCGGCGUGCUUAACACAUGCAAGUCGAGCGAGGCCAGGGGGGCAACUCCCUGAGUCGAGCGGCGGACGGGUGAGUAACACGUGGGUAACCUACCCGGAAGUGGGGAAUACCUCGGGGAAACUCGAGCUAAUACCGCAUGACAUCUUCGGGACGAAAGUCCUGACGAUCAAAGCGGGGUCGCAAGACCUCGCGCUACCGGAUGGGCCCGCGCCCGAUUAGCUAGUUGGUGGGGUAAAGGCUCACCAAGGCGACGAUCGGUAACCGGCCUGAGAGGGCGAUCGGUCACACCGGAACUGAGACACGGCCCGGACUCCUACGGGAGGCAGCAGUGGGGAAUCUUGCGCAAUGGGCGAAAGCCUGACGCAGCAACGCCGCGUGGAGGAUGAAGGCCCUUGGGUUGUAAACUCCUGUCGGCUGGGAAGAAAUCGUUCGCGGCCAAUACCCGCGGACGUUGACUGUACCAGCAAAGGAAGCCCCGGCUAACUCUGUGCCAGCAGCCGCGGUAAUACAGAGGGGGCCAGCGUUAUUCGGAAUUAUUGGGCGUAAAGGGCGCGUAGGCGGCCAUGCGUGUCUUCCGUGAAAUCCCUCGGCUCAACCGAGGACGUGCGGAAGAAACUGCAAGGCUCGAGUCCGGAAGAGGGGGGCGGAAUUCCCAGUGUAGCGGUGAAAUGCGUAGAUAUUGGGAGGAACACCGGUGGCGAAGGCGGUCCCCUGGGCCGGUUCUGACGCUGAGGCGCGAAAGCGUGGGUAGCAAACGGGAUUAGAUACCCCGGUAGUCCACGCCCUAAACUGUGGAUACUAGGUGUGGGAGGUAUCGACCCCUUCUGUGCCGAAGCUAACGCUUUAAGCAUCCCGCCUGGGGAGUACGGCCGCAAGGCUAAAACUCAAAGGAAUUGACGGGGGCCCGCACAAGCGGCGGAGCGUGUGGUUUAAUUCGAUGCAACGCGAAGAACCUUACCAGGGCUUGACAUGCUAGUGGUACCGAUCUGAAAGGUGAGGGACCCUUCGGGGAGCUAGCACAGGUGCUGCAUGGCUGUCGUCAGCUCGUGCCGUGAGGUGUUGGGUUAAGUCCCGCAACGAGCGCAACCCUCGCCGUCAGUUAAAUCUUUCUGACGGGACCGCUGGGAUAAACCCAGAGGAAGGUGGGGAUGACGUCAAGUCAGCAUGGCCCUUACGUCCUGGGCUACACACACGCUACAAUGGCCGGUACAAUGGGCUGCCAAGGCGCGAGCCGGAGCUAAUCCCUCAAAGCCGGCCCCAGUUCAGAUUGCAGGCUGCAACUCGCCUGCAUGAAGGCGGAGUCGCUAGUAACCGCAGGUCAGCACACUGCGGUGAAUACGUUCCCGGGCCUUGUACACACCGCCCGUCACGUCAUGGAAGCCGGCAGCACCUGAAGCCGUUGAGCCAACGCGCAAGCGGGGCAGGCGCCUAGGGUGAGGCUGGUAACUGGGACGAAGUCGUAACAAGGUAACC